GCAGUCGAGCGAGCUGAAUUCAAAGAUUCCUUCGGGAUGAUUUGUUGGACGCUAGCGGCGGAUGGGUGAGUAACACGUGGGCAAUCUGCCCUAAAGACUGGGAUACCACUUGGAAACAGGUGCUAAUACCGGAUAACAACAUGAAUCGCAUGAUUCAAGUUUGAAAGGCGGCGCAAGCUGUCACUUUAGGAUGAGCCCGCGGCGCAUUAGCUAGUUGGUGGGGUAAAGGCCUACCAAGGCAAUGAUGCGUAGCCGAGUUGAGAGACUGAUCGGCCACAUUGGGACUGAGACACGGCCCAAACUCCUACGGGAGGCAGCAGUAGGGAAUCUUCCACAAUGGACGCAAGUCUGAUGGAGCAACGCCGCGUGAGUGAAGAAGGUCUUCGGAUCGUAAAGCUCUGUUGUUGGUGAAGAAGGAUAGAGGCAGUAACUGGUCUUUAUUUGACGGUAAUCAACCAGAAAGUCACGGCUAACUACGUGCCAGCAGCCGCGGUAAUACGUAGGUGGCAAGCGUUGUCCGGAUUUAUUGGGCGUAAAGCGAGCGCAGGCGGAAUGAUAAGUCUGAUGUGAAAGCCCACGGCUCAACCGUGGAACUGCAUCGGAAACUGUCAUUCUUGAGUGCAGAAGAGGAGAGUGGAACUCCAUGUGUAGCGGUGGAAUGCGU
rnacentral:rRNA from 1 species